rnacentral:rRNA from 1 species
UACGAAGGGGGCUAGCGUUGCUCGGAAUCACUGGGCGUAAAGCGCACGUAGGCGGAUUGCUAAGUCAGGGGUGAAAUCCUGGAGCUCAACUCCAGAACUGCCUUUGAUACUGAGGAGCUUGAGUCCGGGAGAGGUGAGUGGAACUGCGAGUGUAGAGGUGAAAUUCGUAGAUAUUCGCAAGAACACCAGUGGCGAAGGCGGCUCACUGGCCCGGUACUGACGCUGAGGUGCGAAAGCGUGGGGAGCAAACAGG